AUCACUGCACAGGAAUGAAAUUCUUCUUGUGUUCAGGUGCAACUUCUGUGCAUCAGUGUCUGCCCAUUACCUCUCGUGCUAUUGCU